AACGAAGAGGACACUGGGGCAUUUAACUGCCAGUGCCCAGCAGUCGUAGUUGAGUCCUGCUGAUGAAACAGAAAACCUGCAACCUGCCCUGUUUGCAGGCAGAACAGACAGUUAAAUAUAUCAGCCAAGGAACAGCAGGGGCUGGUAGCUGAAGUUUGGACAGUCGAGCCCGUAAAUGAUGGAGUCUGGCUCUGUCAUCCAGGCUGGAGUGCACUGAUGCGAUCUGGCUCACUGCAUCCUCCAUCCUCCUCCCUGAUUCAAGCGAUUCUCCUGCCUCAGCCUCCAGAGUAGCUGGGAUUACAGGUGGAAGAAUUCUAAAAUCACACAAGAAAAUGUAAGUCAAAGAAGCUGAGAUCUCAAUGGAUGACAAGAUCAGCUCAAAGUUACAAACACAGACUUAGAGGCAGGGCUGAACCGCCAUUUCUUAGCAUCUCCCUUUAUCAUCAUCCUAUUUUAAAGAGUAACACUGACUCGCAAACAAUUUAGUUUUACUUUAUUACAAAAUUCACUGUUUCUAUUUCCUAUACAUAUGGUUUACCUU
rnacentral:lncRNA from 10 species